rnacentral:rRNA from 1 species
GUCGGUGACCAUAGAGUUGGUGUCACACCUGUUCCCAUCCCGAACACAGUAGUUAAGCCCAACUCGCCGAUGAUACUGUUCAGCGGGAAAGUAGGUUAUCGCCGACU